ensembl:lncRNA
AGCGGGGCCAGCUACGCCCACCCCCCGCGGGGAGGGCCGGCGGCGCUGGGUUUAGCCACGCCUACUGCGGGAGGGGCGGGGCGGCACCUCCUUCCUGCGCCCACCCCCCUCAGGAAUGCCACAUGGCCUCGAGCGGCUAGCGGUGGGACCUCACUCGCGCUGUCUGCUAGGGGGCAGGAAGUGGCCCUCUCCUCCGCUCUGAGAGCGUUUCCGGAGCGCCUACUGUGUGCUUGUUGCUAGGGUGGGGCGUUACAAGGAAAGAAAGUGCCAGACCCGACCUUAGUAAGCGUGCUCGCUGCAGCGGUCCUCGGGCUGGCGCUGGGAAACUGAGGGACACUUAGUCCUGAGAACCUCCAGUUGGUAAGGGACAGUUCAGGAUGCGAUGGCUCUUCGGUCCCCCAGGGCCCACGGAGUCGAGAAGAAAGCCAUCUCCGAUAAAACCCCAAGCAGGUAGCCCAGUCACGCACUCGAGAGGCGACCGGGGGUGAUAACUGGCAGCGCUUAGGGAGCGUUGAUGACGCAGCCAGGCUGGCCCCGCGCUUCGUGGGCAUCAUCCCGUGCAGUUCUCCGGUUAUCUGGGUCUUGCUAUGUACUUCAGGCUGGUCUUGAACUCACUGUGUAGUCCAGGCUGGCCUCAUACUCAUGGCAAUCCUCCUGCUUCCUGAGUGCUGAGAUUCCAGGGAUCGAACUCUCGUCCUUCUGCUUGUGAGGAGUCAGUUGAUCUUAUGGACAAAUGCUCAUCAGGACUCUCCUCAAAUCUGCUUCCUGUUACUAGCUACAUCCUAGUCAGUGCCUGACCAAGGCCAGAAUCCAUGGUACAACUGCUGUUUCAGGAAGCUGCUCACCAGGUGCUUCUCCAAUUAGUCCUUCUUCUUUAUGGUUGACCUGAUCGAAAAUGUCACAGCCCCAAACUGCAUAUAUUUCUACAUUGCUACCCAACAAGCUCAGCCUGUGCAUCUCGUCACUUUGUUGCAAGGGCAGCUGGAACCUCUUAAUGCUUAUGUGAGAGACAGCUAGUGGCUCAGACUCCAACACCUGACCAUGUGAAAUCUUUUGCCCCUUAUCCUGUACCUCCUUGCACUAUAAGAGCUAUUCCCAGAGCUCUAAAUUCCAAUACUGGCUGUACAGGCCCACCAAAGCUCCCUUGAGAACAAUUUUUUCAAGUUUCCAAAUUUCUUGAACAUUGACCUAUGUCAGGCAAUGUCAUACUUAUCAGAGAAAAUGUCCAACAUGGUCUGGAUCCUUUCCUCAAGAAACUUGUGAUUGUGUUGGACACAUAAACUAACUGCAGGGCCGGGGAUUUAGCUCAGUGGUUUCACUGCCUGCUGUGCAAGCACAAGGACCCGAGUUCAAUCCCCAGUAGCAAAACAAAAACAAAAACAAAAAAAACCAAACCAACUGCAAUACAGUGGGAGAAGUCAAUGGAGAAACAUCCUGAGAACACAGAGGAGGGAUAUCCAGAUCAAGGAAAAACAGGGGUUGGAGAGUCACCAUGCUGAGAGCUAGGUCCUGCACACCAGGCAGUACUAGGUUGUACUAAUCUUUUAGGUAGUCCUGGAAAGCUCAGAGUCAGUUGGGCUCCUCAAAACAAGGGCAGGAAAAAUAUAAUUGGAUUUAGGGAGGGGAAAAGGAAGACAACUUCGCAGAAGUACAGUGGGGAGCAGUACAGAGCCUUGACUACAGAG